UACGGAGGGUGCAAGCGUUAAUCGGAAUUACUGGGCGUAAAGCGUGCGCAGGCGGUUUGUUAAGUCUGCUGUGGAAUCCCCGAGCUCAACUUGGGAAUUGCAGUGGAUACUGGCAAGCUGGAGUACGGUAGAGGAAGGUGGAAUUCCCGGUGUAGCGGUGAAAUGCGUAGAUAUCGGGAAGAACACCAGUGGCGAAAGCGCUCUACUGGGCCAAGACUGACACUGAGGGACGAAGGCUAGGGGAGCGAAAGGG
rnacentral:rRNA from 1 species